UACGUAGGGGGCAAGCGUUGUCCGGAAUCAUUGGGCGUAAAGAGCGUGUAGGCGGCCCGAUAAGUCCGCUGUGAAAGUCCAGGGCUCAACCCUGGGAUGCCGGUGGAUACUGUCGGGCUCGAGUCCGGAAGAGGCGAGUGGAAUUCCUGGUGUAGCGGUGAAAUGCGCAGAUAUCAGGAGGAACACCAAUGGCGAAGGCAGCUCGCUGGGACGGAACUGACGCUAAGGCGCGAAAGCGUGGGGAGCGAACAGG
rnacentral:rRNA from 1 species